rnacentral:rRNA from 1 species
UACGGAGGGAGCUAGCGUUGUUCGGAAUUACUGGGCGUAAAGCGCACGUAGGCGGCUUUGUAAGUCAGAGGUGAAAGCCAGGGGCUCAACUCCAGAACUGCCUUUGAGACUGCAUCGCUCGAAUCCGGGAGAGGUGAGUGGAAUUCCGAGUGUAGAGGUGAAAUUCGUAGAUAUUCGGAAGAACACCAGUGGCGAAGGCGGCUCACUGGACCGGUAUUGACGCUGAGGUGCGAAAGCGUGGGGAGCAAACAGG